rnacentral:rRNA from 1 species
AUUGAACGCUAGCGGGAUGCUUUACACAUGCAAGUAGAACGAGUGGCGGACGGGUGAGUAAUAUAUCGGAAGUGCCCAGUAGAGGGGGAUAACUACUGGAAACGGUAGCUAAUACCGCAUACUAUCGGAUGACCCAUAUGGGAUUAGCUAGUAGGUGGGGUAAUGGCUCACCCAGGCGACGAUCCCUAGCUGGUCUGAGAGGAGGAUCAGCCACACUGGGACUGAGACACGGCCAAGACUCCUACGGAGGCAGCAUUGGGGAAUAUUGCACAAUGGGCGCAAGCCUGAUGCGGCCAUGCCGCGUGUAUGAAGAAGGCCCUAGGGUUUUAAAGUACUUUCAGUCGGGAGGCGUUACCGACAGAAGAAGCACCGGCUAACUCCGUGCCAGCAGCCGCGGUAAUAC